rnacentral:rRNA from 1 species
GAUGAACGCUGGCGGCGUGCUUAAUACAUGCAAGUCGAGCGAACAGACGAGGAGCUUGCUCCUCCGACGUUAGCGGCGGACGGGUGAGUAACACGUGGAUAACCUACCUAUAAGACUGGGAUAACUUCGGGAAACCGGAGCUAAUACCGGAUAAUUUAUUGAACCGCAUGGAUCAAUAGUAAAAGACGGCAUUGCUGAUACUAAUAGAUGGAUCCGCGCCGCAUUAGUUAGUAGGUAAGUUAACGGCUUACCAAGGCAACGAUGGGAAGCCGACCUGUGAGAGUGGUAGCCCACAAUCGAACUGCAACCCGGUCAAGACUCCUACGCGACGCCGCAGUGGCGUAUCUUACGCAGUCGGCGGCAGUAUCGCGAAACAACGCCGCGUGUGUGGUGAUAAUCUUCGGAUCGUAAUACUCUGCUAUUAGCGAAAAACAAAUGUGUACGUAACUAUACACGUCUUGACGGUAACUAAUAAGAAAGCCCCGGCUAACUACGUG